CACCCCACCCCAACUACUCCAGCCUCUAUCUCCUCUCAAGGCCGCCCGCCCCACGCUGCCUCACCGCGGGUCCUCGAACUCAACGAAGGCGAAGGGAGGUCCCCCGCGGCGGUUCUUCAGGUCGAUGUCGCGGAUGGCGCCGUAUUUGUAAAACACGUCCUCAAUGUCCUUGGUUCGGAUGUCCGGAGGUAGGUUCCCCACGUAGAUGCGGCAGUCGUUGUUCCCCGCCGGGCCACGGAUCACACCACCUCCUGACAUGGCGGCGACGAAAAAAGGCGCGGACUCGAGAAGAGAGGCCUUCCCACCAAGCCUAGCGUACGGCAGAGCGAGCCCUCAGCGGCACCACGUCUCCCGCGGCCCGUCCAAAAUGGCGCCUUUAUCAGCUCGGCGCACUGAUAUGGGGGGGGAGGGGGGGGAGAGGAAGAGAAGCCGGAGGAAGCGGCCCGGCCGCCUCAGUGCGCACGCGCACGGGCCGUAACGGGUGCUGAGCGGGGCGCGCGCGCACGCACGCACGCACGCACGCACGCGCGACGUCACCCUCCGCACGGAGGGGAAAAAGUCCCUUGGCGGCCCGGGGCUUGUGGGAUGACUGCUGGGUAGCGGAGCGGCCAGGCGUUUGGUAAAAAAAAUGGCAGACUCUGGCGGAAGGGGUUGUUGACGCCUGCCGAGUCCAAGGGUCGUCUGUCUCCUCAAGCGUGAACCCUCUUUUAUGGCAGCCCGGCGCUCGGAUUUGGUGAAACCUAGCCUGCAACCGUGUCCCGCCAUGCUCCGCGGUGGUAACGGCCUUUGGCGGGAAAGGCGACGGGGGCGGAGCCAGAUGAUGCCGAGCUGUUGCUCCGGAAACCUGGGCAUCUUCAGCGCUUUGGGCUGGGCCGGCGGAGCUGCAGAGGACGAGAAAGGAAAAGCAAUGGAGUAGAUGCGAGGACUGUAACUUCUAGAGACAACGGUUGCAUCUCAGGGCUGAGAUUCGGCUUGUGUGCUAGACUAAGGAGAUAUAAGAACUUUUUUUGCAGAUUGUCUGAAAUAAGAAUAUUUAUAUUGGAUACCAAGAUUUUGCUUAUUUGUUUUGUAAUCACGGGAAUGGAAUUUAGGGCCUUAUGUGUGAACUCAUACGGGUUUUCAGCGUUAACGAAUUCGAAUUGGAAUAAGAGCAAAAACAAGAUGAACUUUGUAACUUGUGGCUUCAGUUUCAUCACUCCAGAAACUGAGGCAGGAGGAUCUAUGCUAGCCUGUGGUACACAGUUCUAGGUCAGCCGGAGCCAUGUAGGGAAACCCUUUAAAAUAAAAAAUUGGAAAAAAUAAA